AAUAACGAGGAAAGAUUUGACUGAUUGCAACCUCCAUAAAAAAUGCUAAAGGACAGUAU
rfam:Formosa agariphila KMM 3901, complete genome